rnacentral:rRNA from 1 species
AUGAGAUAUCGGCGGCCUCCCGCGAGGAGGACCGCCGGACGCAAUGAAUAUACUGUUCUGGAACUGCCGGGAGGGGGGGGGGACCGCCGGACAGUUCGUGAGGUCCUGGCCCUCUCAAAAGCCAACAUCCCCAAACUAGUCUUCCUCUGUGAGACUAGACAUGAUUCUGUUAAAGUGGAAAAGCUGCGUUGGAGACUCGGUUUGAAAGGCUUUCAUGGCGUCAGUAGCGAUGGAGGAAGUGGUGGUUUGGCUCUGUUCUGGGAUGAGUUGUUGACAGUGACGGUGCUAGAUUCUUGCAGCCGUUUUAUUGACGUCAAGGUAGUAGAUGGCGGCUCGGGCACUUCUUGGCGAGGAACUUUUGUCUAUGGGGAGCCACGUGUUGAGAAUCGUCAUCGGAUGUGGGAGCAACUGUGUGGGCUUAGGGCCAGCUCGCGGGAGCCAUGGGUGGUGUGCGGAGAUUUUAACGAGGCACUUUGGAAACAUGAGCAUCUCUCUGGUACGCCGCAGUCUGAAGCUCAAAUGGUGGCGUUUAGAGAUUGCUUGGAAAGGUGCGAGUUGGGGGACCUGGGCUUUUCAGGUUUUCCUUUCACCUACAAAAAUGGUCAGCAGGCGGAUCGGAAUGUUCAGGUCCGGAUGGACCGUGCAUGCGCUGAUGAGUCUGUUGGGGAACGUAGUAAUUUCAAAAAAUUUCCUACGCACACGCAAGAUCAUGGUGAUGCAUAG